GUCCCUGCAAGAGAGCCGGACAAAAAAAUCGCUUCUGAAUUAACAUUUCCUGCCACCAAAAGGAACAAGCCAGGCCAAAUAUGCCUCCGUGUUUCUCUACUGAUCCCCAAAAGCUCUUCGCUCUGUAUGGUCUCUUUGCUGAUCAGCUCUCUGCACUCCCUGCUGAAAUCAUCCUAACCUUCAUUUUGGCAGUUCAGAGGGCCAAAUUUUCUUUUUUAAGGCCCAGCCAGACCCUUGGGGGCCGCCAGCGGCUAACCCUCCGUCACUCAUGAAAGCCUCAACCACACUCCACUCACCAGAAACUCCGCCUUGGAUUUCCUUUUCCCCUUUGUCCCCUUUGGUUCCAAACAUGGGCGCGUAAUGUUUACUCCUGAGUCAGAUCAGCUUACGAAAAGGAAAACUAAUCAAGGAAGGUGUAACGCAUACCUCCAGCUUUUACAGGCGUCCUUGUGCAAAACUCAAAUAAACCCUGAAGUGUGUCUUACUGGGAGGGCGGGUUUUUGGUGUAAGUGUAUGUUUUGUUGUUGUUGUUCUUUUUAAAUAUAUUCCUCCUCAAACUGCAAAAGCGAUAAUGUUGGAAAGUGUAAAAAAAAAAAUGGAUGUAAUGUUUCCCCCCUCUCUGUUUUGUGUUGUAAAAAAGUCUCAAGAAAAGGUGGACAUGAAAGUGGAUGGAAACCAGAUUAUAAAAAGGUCCGAUAGCUGGCUUGGAAGGGGUCCGGGAGACGUAACCUUUUCUUCCUGUGGCAAGCAACGUGGCCUGUGGGGAAGAAGAACAGAGAGCGGAACAGGUAAGAAAUUAUCUCAGUGAUGCGCCUUUUAGCUUUCUGGAAAAGGUCAGCUUGUCUUCCGUGGUGAUGGUGAACUGCAGUGGGAAUGUGGGCAGGGCAAGCUGUGCUUGUGUCUUGCCUGUGGGCUUCUGUGUGAAGUUGGCUGGCUCCUGGGGCAUCAGACUGCUGGAUGGAACCUUCUUGGACUGAUCCAGUCAUGCACGUCUUACAUUCUUAGGCAUACAUUAUUAAGCGUUUAGUGCAACUGAGUUGGAGUUAGCGAUGGGCAGCCGAUGCCAACUUUUUGAGUCCACCUCAAUCCAUGCUUCCAAUCCAAACACNCUUUGGGGUUGCAGGAUGCUUCCCCUUUCCCGCCUUGGAUUCCCAGUCUUUUGAAUUUGUCAUACCGAUAAUGCUAAGAUGAACUCUCUUUCUCCAAGCAGCUUGCUAAUCAUGGCCGUAAUNUAUUUGGGGCUUUUUUUUUUUUUUUGCAUUUUGACUUGUUUAUAUGUCUGUUUGGACUUUGGAACUUUUCCUCUCAAGUGUUUAAAAUUGUUUGUUUAAAAUUAAUAAGAAUUUAAAAAAUGCACUUCCUUCUGAACCGCACCCCUGCCCAUAAAAUGAUUUACUUUUAAAUACGCUGCAUCUUUUCCUUGAGCUGGAAAAGACUGAAGAGUUCAGUUGCAUCUGAUCCACAGAAAAAGAGACUGGAAAAGGAACCCAAAUUGUGCAGAGGGGCAGCAGCCUUCUUUCUUUCAGAAAGGGUCCCCUAGAUUCUGUGGGGUUGUGGGUUUAAAUAUAGGUACCUUUUCCAGUAUCCAAACCAUUUUUACCUGGUCAGGUUCUCCGUAUUGCAGUAUGGGAGUUUCCAAAUGAACCAGAAAGCCUGUUGAGUCAGAUUUUAUAGACACAUAUUAAACCAAAGUUAUCUCCCUGGUAUUUUUUUAAAAUGCAUUUUGCUGGGGCGGUGUGGGAAGGGAACACCUUUUAACUC
ensembl:lncRNA